GGUCCAAUGGUCUAGUGGUAUGAUUCAUCCUUAGGGUUCUCCCUGAGCCUUCAAAAGCUCCUAAGUUGGAUGAGGUCCCGCGUUCGACUCGCGGUUGGAUCC